UCGUGCAGGUUUUUCUUCGUCUCUGCCUGUGCAACGUCUCCGUGCGACUGGCUGACCGAAUGACUGAAUGCGUGCCUACCUGCGUAGCUAACUGCCUACUUACCCACCUACUUACCGAGGCAAGAGGUGGUAAAUCGAGAACGUCGUCCGCAGGAGAACGUUUCCGAAUAAGGUCAGAGUUACGAGAGGAAAGGUGGGCGCGAGGGAUCGAGCAGGUAGGUAGCCAAGAGAACCAGUACCGAGCGACGCGCAAGCACGCAGUACCGUUCUCUGUAUUACCCUGGAAUCCAUUACGAAGAGACAGCCGAGUCGUUUCGACGCGUACGUCCGUAAAAGAUAAGAAGAGAACGAACGUUCGAAGGGGUGGCUGAUCGGUCGUGGGUGCGUAAGUCCGUUGGUCACGGAUCGGAAAUAUAGAGAAAGGGAGAGCUCGAGAGGUUUUAAACGAGGAACGGAGUAGGUAAUGGAACCGGGCGUAGUCGAAGAGGAAGAAGGACCUGCGUCAUCGUCGUCCGAGGCCGCGGGCGAGAAGACAGCGGCGGGAGUCACGUGAGAUCAAGGCUAACGUGUCUCGAGUUGCAAGAAUUGUUCGCGGUCGCGUGCCAUGUCGUCGUGGACAUCGUCGUCGACGUCCGCCGUCCGUCGCGGUCACGUCUUCGGGGCCAUUAACACGACGCCCGGCCGCGUCCCUCUUCGUUUCGUCACCGUGAAACAUCGGUAUUGACAUCGGAGCCAGCCAGAGGCAAUCGGAAUAAACCCUGGCAUCGCCGA